CGCCUCCGGGGAGCGCGCGGGCCGAGGCCGCCGAGUAGGACGCGGAGCCGGAGCGGCCAGCUGCUCCUUCCUGACCAUGGUCACCGAGAUGCGGUAGACGGUCUUCCUGGGGGGCGUCCCGCGCGACAUCGUGUCCGCGGGCGAAGACGCGGGUUCGCCGCUGCCGUCCAGCAGCUACACCUCCCCAAGUGUUCAUCCCCACCCCUUGUGAUACAGGAUUCAAAUACAGACAUCAACCCAGCUCUUGAGACCAUCUUCAGACCACAGACGUGCUGCUACAGUCUUCCUGUUUACAGGUCCAAGAAGAAAGUGCAUUAUAUGGAGGACCCACUAAUCAGUGCCGAUGGGAUCUCCUCUUGGCCCACAAAGGCCAGGGCUUCCUGGAGGCUACACCUAGGCAAGGUACAGGUGGCUGGGAAAGUCAGGCAUUUCUAAGGUCUCUCCAGCUCCUCACCACAAAAUGUGGGAGGUGCCUGUGGUGUUCAUGCCAAUGACAGUGAGGGAAGGAUGAAUGGAUGAGUCAGGUCUCCUGAAAGAACUGAAGUCUAUGAAACCUGGAUUUUAAUGGAAAACUAUUAGAAACGCUCCUACGUGACUCAUUUACUUCUUGCCUGCAUGAGGGCAAGCACAUGUGGGGUAGGAAUAUAUGGGGGAGGUGCAUAUGCACAUGAAGGCCCCAGGGGAUGUCAGGAGCCUUCCUCUCAACAACUCCUCCUUUUAUACAUUAAGGCAGGUUAUCUCACUUGAACCAAGAACUUGAUCUGGCUAGUCUAGCUAGCCAGCUUGUUCUGCAGCUCUCCCGAUCUCUGGCUCUCAAUGCUGGGAUUACAGGUGGGCUACCACAUCUACCGGACGCCUAAGUGGAUACUGAGAGUCCAAAGCCCUGCCCUGAUGGCAGUCUUUCUCCCACUCAGCCAUCUCUCCAACCUAUAUUCAUUCUCAAAGAUCUCAAAAUAUUUUCAAUAUCUUCUUCUACCUCUAUUUCAAGAUCCCUAACCAUCUGUUAUGGGCAAGGGAUCCCUUCCGUUUGUAACUCUCGGUCUCUCCAAUGGUCCUUCAAGCAGGCCAUUCAAAGGGCCAGGCCAUGAUAUCUAUCCUGUUUCAAUAAAGCAGCUCUCUCUCAUCAACUCAAGAGCCACCAGCUGUUGUAGGAUGGAAGUCAAGCACGGAGCCUGUUAAAAUGUCUACCUGUACCCAGUCAGGAGGACGCUGAGGCUCAGUGGCUCAAGCUGAGUCCCCCAGGACUGCACUCAAGUCUUCUGCUUCAGUGGCUUCAUUAGCAACCAAGAGCUAAAGAAGUGCGACCAGCACUGGCCUAAGCGCCAUGAAAAAUUAAACUUCCUGGUAUUACCAGGAUGUAUUAUUAACA